rnacentral:rRNA from 1 species
GUAGUUAGCCGGGGCUUUCUUACAGGGUACCGUCACUUCUUCGUCCCCUGCGACAGAGGUUUACAAUCCGAAAACCUUCUUCCCUCACGCGGCGUUGCUGGGUCAGGCUUGCGCCCAUUGCCCAAUAUUCCCCACUGCUGCCUCCCGUAGGAGUCUGGACCGUGUCUCAGUUCCAGUGUGGCCGAUCAGCCUCUCAGCUCGGCUACCCAUCGUCGGCUUGGUGGGCUGUUAUCUCACCAACUACCUAAUGGGACGCGAACCCCUCUAAAAGCGAUAAAUCUUUGACCUCUUCCCGAUGCCGGGUUGUGGUCUUAUGCGGUAUUAGCAGUUGUUUCCACCUGUUAUUCCCCACUCUUAGGCAGGUUGUUCACGCGUUACUCACCCGUGCGCCACUAGAAUUAUCAAUUCCAUCCGAAAACUUCCUUAAUAAUCCCCGUUCGACUUGCAUGUGUUAGGCACGCCGCCAGCGUUCGUCCUAAGCCAGAAUCAAACUCUGA